rnacentral:lncRNA from 1 species
AUAAAUUAACAAGAUCAAAAUGUUUCUAAUCAUGAUCAAUCUCACUCUGUGAUAUUUUCUGAAAAUUGGCAACUAUUGAAAAAUCAUUUUAAAACCCAGUGUUACUUAAGUCAUUGUGAAAUUUGAGAUGGUAGAGUAUGAGUAUCUUAUUCUUGAUAUCGUUGUUGCUUGGAGCAUCUAUUUCAAAAUCUUUAAAAAUUCUAGCUACCAUCCUCAGUGUUUUAUAUGCCUGCUAAACUUGAAAAUAUUAAUAGUUAUAAAAGCUAUCAAAAUGAGUUAGAUCCUUGUUGAGAGAUUUAUCAUACUCCGAAGAUCAAGACAUUUAUUCAGAAAGAUUCACUCUUUCGAAGUAUUAUUGUGUUAGAGGCAUGGGCUAUGCAAAAAUAUGAAUAUUUCGAGGAAAUAAAAAGGAGCAAGUGCUCGACAACCUCGCAGAAAAAAUAGACAAGUGUCCGGCAGUAGAAUUAGGGGUACCUCGGUAUCCACCUGAAAAAAAGAAGAAGAGAAAAGAAAGAAGAAAAUGAUAGCCCAUGGUCCCUCUAAUAAGCAAUAUACUAGUAAGAGUUGACAAGUUUUUAAUUUCCAAAGUCUUUGAUCUAACAGUAUGGCAUUCCUCUCCUCGGAUCUCGUUUUGACCAGGCAAUAAAUGCAAGGUAAGUAUGCUUGAGAAUUUCUGCAAAUUGAAACAGCCUCAAUGAGAUAUAUAAAAGAUAAAUGAGCGACAGAACAGAUAAAGGUAUGCUAAAUUUCUUUUCAAAAAUAUAAAAAAAAAACUCCAAGUGACAGGAUUAAGAAGAAAGGACCUCUACUCUUGGCCAUAUAUUUCCCUGACUAUGGUACACAGUGGAUUUUUACAACACCCUGCAGGUAACAAUGUUUUAACCCCAGAUAUCUUUCUUAACCAUCCUUUUCUCGAGGACGAGUAAAAGCCUAAGUAUGGGGGUGUUUGUUGAUGGUUCUUAAGUAUCAAUUUUAAUUAUGAAAUAAAUAAGGAAAAGGACCAAUAUACAAACAACACCUAGAACUAGGGUUUGAUCUGACAGAAUUCCACGAGUUUUGUUGUUUAUCUAUUUCUGCAGGGGUUAUCAGGAAAUAUGGAAGAAAGACCCACACGUCGGGUUUACAUAGAGAUAUUAACGUGCACCGCGAUUAUUCAACAUCUAGAAGAGUCCAAAAGCCACGAGAACGAACGGGAGGCC